rnacentral:tRNA from 1 species
GUUGUAGCUCAGUGGUAGAGUGCUUGCCUCCCACAUGUGAGGCACUGGAUUCAAUCCUCAGCACAACA